rnacentral:lncRNA from 1 species
UUCGACGACGGCCGUUACGGACGACAGCGGCGGUUCGACGUCGGCCGUUACGGACGGCAGCGGCGGUUCGACGUCGGUAACGUCGGCCGUUACGGACGGCAGCGGCGGUUCGACGACGGCCGUUACGGACGACAGCAGCGGUUCGACGACGGUAACAUCGGCUGCAGCUAACACCUCGGCACAGAGCUCUCAGGACUGUUUCGCCUCUCUUCUGAAACCUCUCCCAUCCAACGCCCCCAUCUGGGCCCUGAGGCUUCAUAAUGCUGAGAGGUCCUGGAUGGCAGGAAGCUUAGCCCCAGUGAUGUACUGGGCCGUACGCACUACCCUCUGUAGCGGCUUGCGUUCGGAGGCCGAGCAGUUGCCGUACCAGGCAGUGAUGCAACCAGUCAGGAUGCUCUCGAUGGUGCAGCUGUAGAACCUUUUUGAGGAUCUCAG